CGCGUGGGAACCUGCCCAGUGGUCGGGAAUAACCGCGGGAAACUGCGGCUAAUACCCGAUGCCCCCUGCGGGGGAAAGAUUCAUCGCCAUUGGAGGGGCCCGCGUCGGAUUAGGUAGUUGGUGGGGUAAUGGCCCACCAAGCCUGCGAUCCGUAGCUGGUCUGAGAGGAUGAUCAGCCACACUGGGACUGAGACACGGCCCAG
rnacentral:rRNA from 1 species